AGAGUUUGAUCCUGGCUCAGGACGAACGCUGGCGGCGUGCCUAACACAUGCAAGUCGCACGGACCCGCAAGGGUCAGUGGCGAACGGGUGCGUAACACGUGAGGAACAUACCUAUCGGCGGGGGAUAGCCGGCCCAACGGCCGGGUAAUACCGCGUACGCUCUCCGGGGGGCAUCUCCUGGGGAGGAAAGCAGCAAUGCACCGAUAGAGUGCCUCGCGGCCUAUCAACUAGUUGGUGAGGUAAUGGCUCACCAAGGCGACGACGGGUAGCUGGUCUGAGAGGAUGAUCAGCCACAUUGGGACUGAGACACGGCCCAGACUCCUACGGGAGGCAGCAGUGGGGAAUCUUGCGCAAUGGGCGAAAGCCUGACGCAGCGACGCCGCGUGUGGGAUGAAGGCCUUCGGGUCGUAAACCACUGUCGCGAGGGACGAAUAAAUGACGUACCUCGAAAGAAGACCCUU
rnacentral:rRNA from 1 species